GAAGAGGCAACAUAGGCAGCUGUCAAAUUUCGGCAAAUACCGUAGGUUUGGCUGGAGAGAGCGGAGAUAGCUUCCCAGCUAGAUCAACUCGACGCCAGCUUUCUUUUCCAAUUUGGCUGUCCACAAGGUUAGUUCAAAGUUAAACGGAACCAGGAGCAGGUAUAUACGGGAAAACUGGCGAAAGAAUCUUAUAAAGGAAUACAUCUACAGGCAGCGCUGAAUCCAGUUUCAGGGUUUGGCGCUAAAUAUAUAGCGCAAGUGCGAGCCAAACGGACGGCUUAACAUCGAGCCAGGUGGCAGACAUUUUCCUCGGAGAACGACGGAUCGCUCAGCCCAGGGAGAAACGAAACGGCGGCUCGAAACUCCCGUAGCGAGGAGCUGCAUUUAGCUGAUUACUAAUUAAUAACCUUUGAAUUAGGCCUCUGAAUGGCAGAAAAGGGUUGCAAGCAGGCAUAGAUACGUCCCAAUUAGGAAUCGCGGCAGCACACAAUUUCUUUUCCAUUUCGGCGGACUCUUAUUUUUGGUUAAUUACUCUUAGAGAGCCAUCGAUGACGUAGAAAUCUCCACGUUCCAUUUUGUCGCCAUGUUCCCCUUGCGCACUUAAAGAAGGGAACGAGAAGAGGAGGAACGAAAAGGAGAGGGGAGAAUAACCAAGUCCAGCAGUUGCAAUCGCGGUUUCUUGUUCGGCGGGCGAGCAAAAGUUUUGUCGCGCGGUCUGGCCGUAAUUUGGUGAAUCCGACCAGAGGAAAAUCCGAAGAUCGACGGCGCGGGAAAAACCCCCUUAGUGAGCGAGAAGGCCGGAAAAUAGUGGAGAGAUUUUUUUUUGUAUAGUGGAAUAAGUUAUUAUGUAAAUGAAAAGUGGCAGUGCGAAGGAGAGAGGGAAAGAUAAGGAAAAGAGUCCAUCAUUUUUUUUAGUGUCCCUUAUGUGCUCCGUCUUCUUCUUCCUUUUUUUUUGUUUCUUUUGUUCAGUUUUAGCAAGCCUAUGAUUAAGCAAUAAGGCACAGUGGGUCAAAGACCAAUACAGAGAGUGAAAAAUAUUUAAGUUUUCCACAGGUGCGGCAGACUCCAACGGAAGCGCUUUCGUCGGUGGAACUCCGGAUUGUUGCCCUCAACCAAUUCUUGUCGCUGCACGCGAAGUUAUUUGAAUAUUUAGAGGAAGAUCAGGCUGAGGUAUAGGGACAAGACCACCACCCCAAAUAGCCGACAAGGAGCAGCUGGACCAUUGCGCGUGCGUCCCAAAUACCUCCCAUCACCACCCAAGCCGAGUAGCAAUCCGUUACAGUAAUAAUUAUCUU